AUCCGAGUUCGUCUACAGCUGAUUCGGCAGGUACCAGGGCGUCCGCGAUGGUGGUAUUGCUCCAUAUGCCUGAGACCCUAACAAAAGCCUAAUUACAACUCAUAUGCCUGGAGCCAGGACAUGUGCAGGAUGCCAUGAUGGUCCAAGUUAUAUUGGGAUUCAGCCAAUAGAAGAUAUUUUGCCUGUCAUCCCUAAGCUUAGGACAAUAGACUCUGCCAAGAGAGGGGAUUAUUACAUAUUGCAGAGCCCAGCACCUAGGUGGAGUGACUCUCAUCUUUUUCUUCUACCCCGUAUAUAGCCAGCUUGGUGACCUACUAUUUGAGUCUAUACCCAGGCCCAGACCACAGAUGAAAUUGUGCAAUAUGUGGAACAAACACCUAAACAAUAUAUAACACCUUCCUUGGCUCUGUCUACAAAGGGCACUUUUAUAUAUCACUGGGACCAUCAACCAGGUGAUGUUGUGCCAUAUAACUGAGACCGUAUCAAAAGCCUAAUAACAAGACGUAUGUCUGGAGCCCCGAUAUGCACAGGAUGGUGAGUCUUAUCGUUCAACUUUUCCACAAGUGUAAUUGUGACAUAUACCUCUGCCCAGCUCCUGAAUUAAUUAUUCUGCCUAGGUAUCGCCCACAAAUGAGAAUUUGACAAAUAACAGAGCCAAGCACCUUGAUGAUUUGACCGCGUUAUCUUAACAAUGUCCUCUGGAGGGAUUGUAACAUAUUUCUGGACCCAUUUUCUAGGUUACAUGACUCUCCCCUCCUGCCUGUGCCCUGAUUCCUUGGUAACUACAGCAUUUCUGAGCACUGCAUCCAAAUGAUAUGACUGUCUUGCCUGGGCCCUGUCAACAGGAGGCAUUGUGACAUAUUUUGGGGCCCAUCAUUUAGGGGAUAAGACUCUCCUCUCCUGCUUGGACACUGCCCACAAGGGACAUUGUGCCACAGCGCUGGACCUAGCACACAAGUUAUGUGACGUUUCUGACAGGUCUGCCUAAAAAGAGGAUUUUGGAAUAUUUCUGGCCCAGCAUUUAGGUGAUGUGGCUGUCCUGCCUGCUUCAUAACCACAGAGGGGAUUGUAACAUAUGCCUAGGCACAGCUCACAGGCAUGAUAAUGACUCUUAUAUAUGGAUUCAGCCAAUAGAGGAUAUUUUGACUUUUAUAACCAGAUUUACAUACAUGCAUGAUGUCUUGGAUCACAUUCCUG
rnacentral:lncRNA from 10 species